rnacentral:misc_RNA from 1 species
CCGAGUACCGGGUCCUCUGGGCCCUUACUCCCACCCUUUGUGUACCAAACCUUUAUUUCUUGUUGCCUUGGCGGGUCUAAGGGGAGACCCCGGGGGCCUCACGGCCCCGCCCGCCAGGGGGACAGCCCUUAAAAACUCUUGUUAACUGGGUCGUCUGAGAAAACAAAACAAAUGAAUUA